rnacentral:rRNA from 1 species
AGAGUUUGAUCAUGGCUCAGAACGAACGCUGGCGGCGCGCCUAACACAUGCAAGUCGAACGGGGUUAUUUUUUGAAACUGGCUUCGGCCGGUGGAUGCUUAUAACCUAGUGGCGGACGGGUGAGUAACACGUAGGUAACCUACCCUUGGGAUUGGAAUACUCCCGAGAAAUCGGGGACAAUACCGAAUAUCAUUCCGGGGCGAAAUCUCUGGAAUAAAAGCUGCGAGCAAUCGUGGCGCCUAAGGAUGGGCCUGCGGCCUAUCAGCUUGUUGGUGAGGUAACGGCUCACCAAGGCUAAGACGGGUAGCCGGACUGAGAGGUUGAUCGGCCACACUGGAACUGAGACACGGUCCAGACUCCUACGGGAGGCAGCAGUGGGGAAUUUUGCGCAAUGGGCGAAAGCCUGACGCAGCGACGCCGCGUGGAGGGAGAAGGCCUUUGGGUUGUAAACUCCUUUCGUAAGGGAAAAAGUCUCGAGCAAUCGGGAUGAUGGUACCUUAAGAAGAAGCCACGGCUAACUCUGUGCCAGCAGCCGCGGUAAUACAGAGGUGGCAAGCGUUGUUCGGAUUUACUGGGCUUAAAGGGCGUGUAGGCGUCCUGAUAAGUCAGAUGUGGAAGCCUUGGGCUUAACCCAAGAAGUGCAUUUGAUACUGUCGGGAUUGAGUCGUACAUGGGAGGGCGGAAUUCCUGGUGUAGCGGUGAAAUGCGUAGAUAUCAGGAGGAAGGCCAGUGGUGAAGACGGCCCUCUGGGUAAUGACUGACGCUG